UUUUUUCAUUGUGUACAAUUUUUUAACUAUAUAAUAAGUGUGGGACUUCAUGGACGACGAAGGGUAAUACGGUAAACUCACCUUAAUAAGUGUGGGACUUCAUGGACGACGAAGGGUAAUACGGUAAACUCACCUUAAUACUCACUCUCUAGAAACAUCCAUCUUAUAUUAUCCAACAGAACAAAGGAGUACCUCUUUACAUUCUCUUCACCUUAAUACUCACUCUCUAGAAACAUCCAUCUUAUAUUAUGCAACAGAAUAAAGGAGUACCUCUUUACAUUCUCUUCCUUUACUUUUGAGAACCUUUUAGCACUAUUCAUCUUCUUAUUGGAGCGAUUUAAGAACUCUGGAAGCGAGGUUUGAUCUCUGUGUUUGAAGCUGCUUUUUAUCAGCUGGGUGGUUCCAUUUCAGUUCAAAUUUGCUCGAAGAAAGCAGGAAAAAACAGGAAAUAAUCUGACUGAUAGAGAUAUGUUGCACCAGCAUCAAAGUAUAAUAGCAUGUCCUGUAAUAGUAAGCUUUCUCGAGUAUAUGGAUGCAGUUGAAAUUGUCCUGAUAUAGCCAUAUGGGACAUUUUAAGUCUUUUCCCUUUUUAAUGUGGUAGUCAUGAUUUUCAAGUUUCAUGCAAUUUAUAAAUACUUAAAUUUGUUUUUGAUAUCAAUUAGAGAAGUUCUACAGGUGAAUUUACUUACUCUCUUUAGCUUUCUCCUAUUUCAACGUCUUUCUACUGUUUUUCAUGUUUGAAGAUUCUUUCAUUAGGACUUAUUAUAAAACUAGAGAAUAAAUCCGCGCUUCGCGCGGUUGGCUAAAUGAAUUCUUCUUUGAAAACAUUAGAGCCCUUGAAUAUGAGGAUAGCAUCUACAAAUUAUUUAUCAUUAGUGGAGUGAGAGCUACAAUAUUCAAUAUUAACGUUUUUUUACCUAAUUUAUAAAAUAGUAAAUCAAGAAAUACAUUUGUAAACAAUAUUAAAAUUGUUUGUGAUAUUUUAGAAAGGUGAGAAUAAAAAUAUAAGAAAGUGAUAAUUAUCUACAUCUCCAAACCGGUGACCACUUAA